rnacentral:RNase_P_RNA from 1 species
GGAGCGCGCCAGGUCAUCGCACGGCUCGCACGGCGGGAGUGAGGAAAGUCCGGACACCGCAGGACGGGAAGCCGGGUAAUGCCCGGGCGCCGGUCAUACGAUCGGCGACGGAAAGUGCCGCAGAAAAUAUACCGCCUUUCUUAUGAAAGGUAAGGGUGAAAAGGCGAGGUAAGAGCUCACCGCGUUUCCGGCAACGGAAACGGCAGGGUAAACCCCUUCCGGUGCAAUCUCAUGUAGGCAACCUGAGAGUGGUCCGCUCGUGGUUGCGGGUAGAGAGCAAAGAGUGCUUCAGCAAUGAACGCACCAGGAUAAAUGGUGGCCCUCGACAGAAUCCGGCUUAUCGGCGCGCUCCCUUU